rnacentral:siRNA from 1 species
GAAAACUUUUUCUUUGUAGUUUU